rnacentral:tRNA from 1 species
GUUUUUAUAGUUUAAGAUAAAACAAUGAUUUUGUAAAUCAAGAAUAGAAACUUAAAUAAGUUGUCUUAAGAACA